UUUCACUUUGAUCUGUUCUUGUUCAGACAGAAAACACUCCAGGUCUAUUCCAGUUUUGUUUAGACUCAGUCUGUUGUUCAGAUCUCGUUUUUCAACCCUUUGGACCAUUUCAUCAAACUGUGAAUGUGGGAUCUGACUCGGUUGUGAAUUCAACAGGAUGGAUCCAGGUGGGGACAGGGGGGAGGGACUCCCUCCCUCUACAACUACUCUAUGUGGGGAACAUAAAAGCCAGAGCAAAGCUCAGAGGAUGUAUGAAGCACUCACAUCACAAUCAGAUCCCAGCCCCUUGUCCUCCAGGACCAUUCGUUCAUCUUCUGAACCUUUAACUUCAGAGAGGACCCAACAGACAUUUAAAUUUGAUCAAGAACUAAGCAAUGUGUCCUUCAAGAGUGAUCGAUCAAGG